AUUGAACGCUGGCGGCAAGCCUAACACAUGCAAGUCGAGCGGCAGCGAAAGAAAGCUUGCUUUCUUGUCGGCGAGCGGCAAACGGGUGAGUAAUAUCUGGGGAUCUACCCAAAAGAGGGGGAUAACUACUAGAAAUGGUAGCUAAUACCGCAUAAUGUUGAAAAACCAAAGUGGGGGACCUUUUUGGCCUCAUGCUUAUGGAUGAACCCAGACGAGAUUAGCUUGUUGGUAGAGUAAUAGCCUACCAAGGCGACGAUCUCUAGCUGGUCUGAGAGGAUAACCAGCCACACUGGAACUGAGACACGGUCCAGACUCCUACGGGAGGCAGCAGUGGGGAAUAUUGCACAAUGGGCGAAAGCCUGAUGCAGCUAUGCCGCGUGUAUGAAGAAGGCCUUAGGGUUGUAAAGUACUUUCAGCGGGGAAGAAAAAAAUAAAACUAAUAAUUUAUUCCUGACGUACC
rnacentral:rRNA from 2 species